rnacentral:rRNA from 1 species
UUGAACGCUGGCGGAAUGCUUUACACAUGCAAGUCGAGCGGCAGCGCGGGGCAACCUGGCGGCGAGCGGCGAACGGGUGAGUAACAUAUCGGAACGUACCCUAUCGUGGGGGAUAACACAUCGAAAGAUGUGCUAAUACCGCAUACGCCCUGAGGGGGAAAGUGGGGGAUCGUAAGACCUCACGUUAUUCGAGCGGCCUAUGCCUGAUUAGCUAGUUGGUGGGGUAAAGGCCUACCAAGGCGACGAUCAGUAGCUGGUCUGAGAGGAUGAUCAGCCACACUGGGACUGAGACACGUCCCAGACUCCUACGGGAGGCAGCAGUGGGGAAUUUUGGACAAUGGGGGCAACCCUGAUCCAGCCAUGCCGCGUGAGUGAAGAAGGCCUUCGGGUUGUAAAGCUCUUUCGGAGGGGAAGAAACGGUUACGGCCAAUACCCGUGACUAAUGACGGUACCCUAAGAAGAAGCACCGGCUAACUACGU